UGUACACACGGAGCUACCGAGAGCCACAAGCUGGAAGCAAGUGAGUUGAGCGCACGCGGGCGGACGCAACGAUGAUGGUGGUGGCAACUACGAGCCCCGGCGGGCUGGAGGCGCUGCAGGUGCGCGAGGUCGAGGAUCUCUCGGCGCUGGGGGAGGGCAAGCUGCUUGUCGGGGUGGCCGCUGCCGGCGUCAAUCGCGGUGACACGGUCCAGCGGCAGGGCCGGUACUCGCCGCCGGCCGGCGCCUCCCCCUACCCGAGCCUUGAGUGCUCCGGCACCAUCGUCGUGCUCGGGGCCAACACCCCCCGCGCUGGGCCGUCGGUACUAGGUGUACGCGCUGCUUACCGGCGGCGGGUAUGCGGAGAAGGUUGUGGUUCUGGCAGGGCAACUUCUACCGACGACAGAGGGAGGGUCGCUGACUGACAGCCGCCAGCUUGCCCGAGGUGGCCUGCACCGUCUGGUCCACCGUGUUCAUGCCAGUCACCUCUCCCCCGGUGAAUCCUUCCUUAUCCAUGGUGGAUCUAGUGGAAUCAAUACAUUCACUAUACAGAAUGCAAAGCACCUUGGAAAUGUACGCAUGAGACAUCAUUCUUUAGACAACAUCUCUACCACUCUAGGAAGCACUUUUGAGUGUCUGCACCAACCUUUAGGAAUUGUAGUCGGGCUAAAGAAGAGCUAAAUAACAAACCACGAACCAUGGCCAUCAUACAAAACCACGAUGCAAAAAAAUUGAGGAUUCAGAUGGAAUUUCCGACAUCAGAGACACGUAUUUUGUUAAUCAAGUGCUGAAGGUAUGAUCGGGUGUAACGCCCGGAUAAUUAGGCUACAGUAAACCUCUGUUAAA